CCUACGGGAGGCAGCAGUGGGGAGUAUUGCACAAUGGGGGAAACCCUGAUGCAGCGACGCCGCGUGAGCGAUGAAGUAUUUCGGUAUGUAAAGCUCUAUCAGCAGGGAAGAAAAUGACGGUACCUGACUAAGAAGCCCCGGCUAACUACGGGCCAGCAGCCGCGGGAAUACGUAGGGGGCAAGCGUUAUCCGGAUUUACUGGGUGUAAAGGGAGCGUAGACGGUCCUGCAAGCCAGAUGUGAAAGCCCGGGGCUCAACCCCGGGACUGCAUUUGGAACUGUAAGGCUUGAGUGUCGGAGAGGCAGGCGGAAUUCCUAGUGUAGCGGUGAAAUGCGUAGAUAUUAGGAGGAACACCAGUGGCGAAGGCGGCCUGCUGGACGAUGACUGACGUUGAGGCUCGAAAGCGUGGGGAGCAAACAGGAUUAGAUACCCUGGUAGUC
rnacentral:rRNA from 1 species